GGCGCCGUAGCUCAGCGGAUAGAGCAGAGGUUUCCUAAACCUUGUGUCGCAGGUUCGAUUCCUGUCGGGGCCCCA
rnacentral:tRNA from 1 species